rnacentral:rRNA from 1 species
GAUCAUGGCUCAGGAUGAACGCUAGCGGCAGGCUUAACACAUGCAAGUCGAGGGGCAGCAUAAUGGAUAGCAAUAUCUAUGGUGGCGACCGGCGCACGGGUGCGUAACGCGGUAUGCAACCUACCUUUAACAGGGGGAUAACACUGAGAAAUUGGUACUAAUACCCCAUAAUAUCAUAGAAGGCAUCUUUUAUGGUUGAAAAUUCCGAUGGUUAGAGAUGGGGCAUGCGUUG